AAAUGGUGUAUAUUUUUAAACUUUUGUGAUUUAUUUGUGAAAGAGUGGCGGGGGUUUGCCAUUAUAAAUUCGUAUGCCAUUUUGGAAUAUCAGCGAGGGGACAAUUGGGUAAAUCACAUGCGAGAAAGUCUACUUUUCCUAAACCCAGGAAAGAUCGAAAUAAAAUUUUAAAAUUCCUUCAGAUUUGGUUAUAUAUUUUGGGAUUUGGCAAACUUGUCCUUUAUUGAAUUUUAUGGGGGAUUUGGGUUUUUAUUAUUUUCUCUUAAAAAUUACUUACCCUACAGCUCGUGCUGAUAGAACUCUCAACUUUUUGGAUCUAACAUCUCUGGUUGUUCUAUGUCAUGUCCGGGCUUUGGGGAAUUGUAGUGAUUUCAGUAAGAGAUACUCUUUUGGGGGGUUCACUAAUCAGGUAAGUAUAUGUUCAUCCUUUCCUAUAUAUCUUUGAGAAGUAGACGGAGACGAUGAUUCGUAAGUGUCAUUGAUUUGGUACAAAUAGAGUUUUGGGUGAAGCUUGAGGUUUUUGGUGCUUUCUUUACUAUAGUCUUAUUGUGCGACUAAUCCAAUUAAUUAGAUUAUGAUAUUCUCUAGUUUGCAAAUCACUUUGUUUGGAUGAUGGUUGCUUCUGUAAUUUUGCAUGGUAAAAUUAAUCUCUUUUUAGCAUGAAUAUGUUGAUGCUUGAUACCAUUUGGGUUGUUCGUGGUUUGUGGGGCAGGGGAGGAGAUGUGAUGGGAGGGGAGGAAGCAAGGUACUGGAUUUUGUGACUGAAAAUCCAGAUUUAAUUUUUCAAUAGAAAGUAGGCAGCAAUGGAGCUGAAAGACUUCAUGGAGAAACUGGCCUUGUUAUUGGAGUACUAUGGGUAUAGGCCCCUUUUUCCUUGAUGUUUCAAAUUUUGAAGGUGCAUAUAAUUACACUUGAUAGAAUCUGACAUGUUUUGGAUACUUAGUUUGCACGUCAAGAUGUAGGUUUUGAAGACUUCAUUCAAGUUGACGAGUUGAUUAUUAUUUUACAAAGAUUGCUAGGCAAAAUUUUAUACUUUUUGCUAUAGAUGUUAUCUCUUCUGCUAAGAGGUGGUGUAAAUAAUGUAAUGAAUUAUAUCAUAGUCCAGUGAUAGUAUAUUGAGAUGCAAAUC